UCAGAGGCUCCUGUCUCACAAGUUGAACAUAAGAGUCAGUGAAGAGAUGAAGCUUUCAGGAGAGACAAGGUUCGAUGCUGCAGAGUAUGAACUCCCUUUGGCUUGUUGACCUGAGACUCAGCGAUGUCAGCUCUCUCCUGAGCCUCCUCCAGCUCGUGCUGAACCUUCCUGUACCUGGAGAGAUGAGUGUUGGCCUGCUCCUCCUGUGGGGAAAUUCAACAAAGGAGCCAACAAUCAUGGAGACUGAAGAUGCAGAGAUGAACUGAUUCUGGUUCUUGUUCUCCCUCUUCAGGGUCUCCAAGUGGUCCAGAGUUUCUUCAUAGGAGUUUUUCAUCUUGAACAGCUCAGUACUCAUUGAGCGAGCGUCCUUCUGAGCUCCCUCCAGCUCUGCCUGGCUCUCCUCAUACUUCU